rnacentral:rRNA from 1 species
UACGGAGGGUGCAAGCGUUAUCCGGAUUUACUGGGUUUAAAGGGUGUGUAGGCGGGCUAUUAAGUCAGUGGUGAAAUCUCCGAGCUUAACUUGGAAACUGCCAUUGAUACUAUUAGUCUUGAAUUUUGUUGAGGUAGGCGGAAUAAGUCAUGUAGCGGUGAAAUGCAUAGAUAUGACUUAGAACACCAAUUGCGAAGGCA